GCAGUCGAACGAUGAUGCCCAGCUUGCUGGGUGGAUUAGUGGCGAACGGGUGAGUAACACGUGAGUAACCUGCCCCUGACUCUGGGAUAAGCGUUGGAAACGACGUCUAAUACUGGAUAUGACUGCCGGCCGCAUGGUCUGGUGGUGGAAAGAUUUUUUGGUUGGGGAUGGACUCGCGGCCUAUCAGCUUGUUGGUGAGGUAAUGGCUCACCAAGGCGACGACGGGUAGCCGGCCUGAGAGGGUGACCGGCCACACUGGGACUGAGACACGGCCCAGACUCCUACGGGAGGCAGCAGUGGGGAAUAUUGCACAAUGGGCGAAAGCCUGAUGCAGCAACGCCGCGUGAGGGAUGACGGCCUUCGGGUUGUAAACCUCUUUUAGUAGGGAAGAAGCGAAAGUGACGGUACCUGCAGAAAAAGCACCGGCUAACUACGUGCCAGCAGCCGCGGUAAUACGUAGGGUGCAAGCGUUGUCCGGAAUUAUUGGGCGUAAAGAGCUCGUAGGCGGUUUGUCGCGUCUGCUGUGAAAUCCCGAGGCUCAACCUCGGGCUUGCAGUGGGUACGGGCAGACUAGAGUGCGGUAGGGGAGAUUGGAAUUCCUGGUGUAGCGGUGGAAUGCGCAGAUAUCAGGAGGAACACCGAUGGCGAAGGCAGAUCUCUGGGCCGUAACUGACGCUGAGGAGCGAAAGCGUGGGGAGCGAACAGGAUUAGAUACCCUGGUAGUCCACGCCGUAAACGUUGGGCGCUAGAUGUAGGGACCUUUCCACGGUUUCUGUGUCGUAGCUAACGCAUUAAGCGCCCCGCCUGGGGAGUACGGCCGCAAGGCUAAAACUCAAAGGAAUUGACGGGGGCCCGCACAAGCGGCGGAGCAUGCGGAUUAAUUCGAUGCAACGCGAAGAACCUUACCAAGGCUUGACAUACACCGGAAACGGCCAGAGAUGGUCGCCCCCUUGUGGUCGGUGUACAGGUGGUGCAUGGUUGUCGUCAGCUCGUGUCGUGAGAUGUUGGGUUAAGUCCCGCAACGAGCGCAACCCUCGUUCUAUGUUGCCAGCGCGUUAUGGCGGGGACUCAUAGGAGACUGCCGGGGUCAACUCGGAGGAAGGUGGGGAUGACGUCAAAUCAUCAUGCCCCUUAUGUCUUGGGCUUCACGCAUGCUACAAUGGCCGGUACAAAGGGCUGCGAUACCGUAAGGUGGAGCGAAUCCCAAAAAGCCGGUCUCAGUUCGGAUUGAGGUCUGCAACUCGACCUCAUGAAGUCGGAGUCGCUAGUAAUCGCAGAUCAGCAACGCUGCGGUGAAUACGUUCCCGGGCCUUGUACACACCGCCCGUCAAGUCAUGAAAGUCGGUAACACCCGAAGCCGGUGGCCUAACC
rnacentral:rRNA from 2 species